AGCAUUUAGACAUUUUGUCACCUAAGUGCUAACGAUGCAAAAUCACAAGUGUUAACUUGCAACAAAAAAUUCCUCAGUCCCUAAUAAUAAAAGCGCUAAACCACAAGAUACCUAAGUAUACUUUGCCCUAUUAAAUAUUACCACUAAACAUUUAAGAUAUCCACUGUACAAAAUACCUUAAAAUUUAUUUAAAAGGAAAUGGAGAUAUUUCAUUUCAUUUUUAAUAUUUGGUACUAAGCAUAUUGGGAGGAACAACCAGAAGAAAAUGGAAAAAAU
rnacentral:misc_RNA from 1 species